AACGCACAUUGCGCUCUCUGGUAUUCCGGAGAGCAUGCCUGUUUGAGUAUCAGUUAACUAUUCUCAAGCUACACUCUUUUCGAAGGGCGUAGCAUGGAAUUGAGUUAUCCCGGUACGAGUGUUUCGGCACUGCAACUGGGAGACUUGAAACUGAUAUCGCGGGAGUAGUGGUCAUUAAGGAUCAGCUCUUUGUAGGUGUACUAGUUGGAGGCGUCGCAAGACGUUUUCAUUCUUAACACCAUUUACGCAAAGUUCGGAUCUGACAGCUGCAACCAACGAACGCAGGAACGCGAGUCUUCGGACUUCAACUUCUUGAUCUCAAAUCAGGUAGGAUUACCCGCUGAACUUAA
rnacentral:misc_RNA from 1 species